rnacentral:rRNA from 1 species
CGAAGGUAGCAUAAUCAGUAGUCUUUUAAUUGAAGGCUGGAAUGAAUGGUUUGACGAAAUAUUAACUGUUUCAUUUAAAAUUUUUAUAGAAUUUUAUUUUUUAGUUAAAAAGCUAAAAUUAUAUUAAAAGACGAGAAGACCCUAUAAAUCUUUAUAUUUUAUUUAUAUUAAUUAUUUAGAUAUUUUUAAUUAUUAUUAAUUAAAAUAUUUUAUUGGGGUGAUAUUAAAAUUUAAUUAACUUUUAAUUUUAAAUACAUAAAUUUAUGGUUGUUUGAUCCAUCAUUGAUGAUUAAAAAUUUAAGUUACUUUAGGGAUAACAGCGUAAUUUUUUUGGAGAGUUCAUAUCGAUAAAAAAGAUUGCGACCUCGAUGUUGGAUUAA